rnacentral:rRNA from 1 species
UUGGAGGGCAAGUCUGGUGCCAGCAGCCGCGGUAAUUCCAGCUCCAAUAGCGUAUAUUAAAGUUGUUGCAAUUAAAAAGCUCGUAGUUGAAUUUCGGGGUUAGUAGGUUGGUCGUGCCUAUGGUACGCACUGGGUUUACUGAUUCCUCCUUCUUGAAGAACUGUAAUGUCAUUAAUUUGGUGUUGCAGGGAAACAGGACUGUUACUUUGAAAAAAUUACAGUGUUUAAAGCAGGC